rnacentral:rRNA from 1 species
UACGGGGGGAGCAAGCGUUGUUCGGAUUUACUGGGCGUAAAGCGCGUGUAGGCGGCCAGGCAAGUUAGGUGUGAAAGCCCUCGGCUUAACCGAGGAAGUGCGCCUAAAACUACUUGGCUUGAGUACCGGAGAGGACGGUGGAAUUCCCGGUGUAGAGGUGAAAUUCGUAGAUAUCGGGAGGAACACCGGUGGCGAAGGCGGCGACCUGGGUAGAUACUGACGCUGAGGUGCGAAAGCGUGGGGAGCAACAGG